GAUGAACGCUAGCGGGAGGCCUAACACAUGCAAGCCGAGCGGUAGAAUCUUUUCGGAGAUUUGAGAGCGGCGUACGGGUGAGGAACACGUGUGCAACCUGCCUUUAUCUGGGAGAUAGCCUUUCGAAAGGAAGAUUAAUAUCCCAUAAUAUAUUGAGUGGCAUCACUUAAUAUUGAAAGCUCCGGCGGAUAGAGAUGGGCACGCGCAAGAUUAGAUAGUUGGUGAGGUAACGGCUCACCAAGUCUACGAUCUUAGGGGGGCCUGAGAGGGUGAUCCCCCACACUGGUACUGAGACACGGACCAGCCUCCUACGGGAGGCAGCAGUGAGGAAUAUUGGACAAUGGGUGCAAGCCUGAUCCAGCCAUCCCGCGUGAAGGAUUAAGGUCCUAUGGAUUGUAAACUUCUUUUAUACAGGGAUAAACCUCUCCUCGUGAGGAGAGCUGAAGGUACUGUAUGAAUAAGCACCGGCUAACUCCGUGCCAGCCGCCGCCGUAA
rnacentral:rRNA from 1 species